AUUGAACGCUGGCGGCAGGCCUAACACAUGCAAGUCGAGCGGAGGGGCGGACGGGUGAGGAAGGCCUAGGAAUCGGCAUGGUAGUGGGGGAUAGGGUCCGGAAACGGGCGCUAAUACCGCAUACUAGCAGAUGAGCCUAGGUCGGAUUAGCUAGUUGGUGGGGUAAGGGCCGACGAAGGCGACGAGCCGUAACUGGUCUGAGAGGAUGAGCAGUCACACUGGAACUGAGACACGGUCCAGACUCCUACGGGAGGCAGCAGUGGGGAAUAUUGGACAAUGGGCGAAAGCCUGAUCCAGCCAUGCCGCGUGUGUGAAGAAGGUCUUCGGAUUGUAAAGGACUUUAAGUUGGGAGGCGGUACCAGCAGAAUAAGCACCGGCUAACUUCGUGCCAGCAGCCGCGGUAAUAC
rnacentral:rRNA from 1 species